CGCACCUUGCACUCUUUGGUAUUCCGAAGAGUAUGUCUGUUUGAGUGUCAUGAAACUCUCAACCCCCUCAUUUUGUAAUGAAAUGUAGCGUGGGCUUGGAUUAUGGCUGUCUGUCGGCGUAAUAGCCGGCUCAGCUGAAAUACACGAGCAACCCAGUUUAAAAACCUGACGGCUUGACUCGGCGUAAUAAUUAUUUCGCUGAGGACGUCUUACCUUUAAAUCGUUAGUGGUGCUUCUAAUGCAUUAAUUUACUUUAAGCUUUAGACCUCAAAUCAGUCAGGACUACCCGCUGAACUUAA
rnacentral:misc_RNA from 1 species